rnacentral:rRNA from 1 species
UACGGAGGGUGCAAGCGUUGUUCGGAUUCACUGGGUAUAAAGGGUGCGCAGGCGGCUUUGUAAGUCAGGGGUGAAAUAUGACGGCUCAACCGUCAAACUGCCUCUGAAACUGCUUGGCUUGAGUCCGGGAGAGGAAGGUGGAAUUCCUGGUGUAGCGGUGAAAUGCGUAAAUAUCAGGAGGAACACCGGUGGCGAAGGCGGCCUUCUGGCCCGGUACUGACGCUCAUGCACGAAAGCCAGGGGAGCGAACGGG